GAUUCCCCUAGUAACUGCGAGUGAAGCGGGAAAAGCUCAAAUUUGAAAUCUGGCGGCUCCGUCGCCCGAGUUGUAUUCUGGAGAAGCGUUUUCCGUGCCGGACCGUGUACAAGUCCCUUGGAACAGGGCGUCGUAGAGGGUGAGAAUCCCGUCUUUGACACGGACUCCCGGUGCUAUGUGAUGCGCUCUCGAAGAGUCGAGUUGUUUGGGAAUGCAGCUCAAAACGGGUGGUAAAUUCCAUCUAAAGCUAAAUAUUGGCGAGAGACCGAUAGCGAACAAGUACCGUGAGGGAAAGAUGAAAAGCACUUUGGAAAGAGAGUAAAACAGUACGUGAAAUUGUUGAAAGGGAAACGCUUGAAGUCAGUCGCGUCUGCCGGAACUCAGCCUUGCUUCUGCUCGGUGCACUUUCCGGUUCGACGGGCCAGCAUCGGUUUCGGGCGGCGGACACUGGCGUGGGGAAGGUGGCAGCUCCGGCUGUGUUAUAGCCCCGCGUCGCAAACGCCGUCUGGGACCGAGGAAUCCGGCGCGAGCCUGGGAUGCUGGCGUAAUGGCUUUAAACGACCCGUCUUGAAACACGGACCAAGGAGUGCUACACGCUCGCGAGUGUUUGGGUGGAAAACCCGAACGCGCAAUGAAAGUGAAAGUCGAUACCCCUCGCGGGGGCACCGACGCCCGAGCCUGAUGUUUUCGGAAGGCCUUGCGGUAGAGCGAGUGCGUUGCGACCCGAAAGAUGGUGAACUAUUCCUGAGGAGGGCGAAGCCAGAGGAAACUCUGGUGGAGGCUCGUAGCGGUUCUGACGUGCAAAUCGAUCGCAGGACUUGGGUAUAGGGGCGAAAGACUAAU
rnacentral:rRNA from 1 species